UACGUAGGUGGCAAGCGUUGUCCGGAUUUAUUGGGCUUAAAGGGUGCGUAGGCGGUCCUAUAAGUCAGUGCUGAAAUAUCCCGGCUUAACCGGGAGGGUGGCAUUGAUACUGUAGGACUUGAGUAGAGUUGAGGUUGGCGGAAUUGACGGUGUAGCGGUGAAAUGCUUAGAUAUCGUCAAGAACACCGAUAGUGUAGACAGCUAACUAAGCUCUAACUGACGCUGAGGCACGAAAGUGUGGGGAUCAAACAGG
rnacentral:rRNA from 1 species